rnacentral:rRNA from 1 species
GCAAGUCGAACGGAAAGGCCAGUGCUUGCACUGGUACUCGAGUGGCGAACGGGUGAGUAACACGUGGGUGAUCUGCCCUGCACUUCGGGAUAAGCCUGGGAAACUGGGUCUAAUACCGGAUAGGACAAUGGUUUGGAUGCCGUUGUGGAAAGUUUUUCGGUGUGGGAUGAGCUCGCGGCCUAUCAGCUUGUUGGUGGGGUAAUGGCCUACCAAGGCGUCGACGGGUAGCCGGCCUGAGAGGGUGUAC